CCACUGUCUCCCUCUGGAUUAUCUCUAGAGUAGGAAAACAGCCAGGGCCCACCCCACGUCUUCCUAACUGCGAGAGCGCGGUAGGAUUUCCGUUUGUCCACAGGAAUGCAGGCCCGGGAGCCGACAGCGGAAAAAUGCAUAUUUAAUUACUUUUUACAAACUCUUUACGUUUGCUCAUUUCGGCUGAUAAUUUAUACUUUGUGCAGCUCUUAGCAUUUAGGCACAGUUUCUUUAGUAAAGAACAUCUCUAGGAGAUUCGUCCUUUUUUGAAAAAAUUGCAUCCCAUGGGAAGCCGCUCUCUGGUUCAGAAUGGGGCCUCAGACAACCACCGCCCCUACGAGACCUUUACCCGAGAGGCACAAGGGGGGAAACUGCGCAGUGUGAGGAAGAGAGCAAAGGCCUCUCUUGGUCCUCGGAAAUUCUUCAUACGCUGGCUUGGUUCUCACAACAGCACGGAGUGUAGGCAGAUGUAAAGGAGAUCAAGUUACCCUGAGUGACAGCCAUGACAGAACAAAACCACAAGACCAGACAGCAUUUAUGGAUAAAUAUAUUAGCAAAUAAAUACAUUUCUCAACAUA